CCUACGGGUGGCAGCAGUGGGGAAUAUUGCACAAUGGGCGAAAGCCUGAUGCAGCAACGCCGCGUGAAGGAAGACGGUUUUCGGAUUGUAAACUUCUAUCAAUAGGGAAGAAAGAAACGACGGUACCUAAAUAAGAAGCCCCGGCUAACUACGUGCCAGCAGCCGCGGUAAUACGUAGGGGGCAAGCGUUCACCGGGUUUACUGGGUGUAAAGGGGGCGUAGAGGGCAGCGAAAGUCUGAAGUGAAAUGCCGGGGCUUAACCCCGGAACUGCUUUGGAAACUGUGCAGCUAGAGUGCAGGAGAGGUAAGUGGAAUUCCGAGGGUAGCGGUGAAAUGCGUAGAUAUUAGGAGGAACACCAGUGGCGAAGGCGGCUUACUGGACUGUAACUGACGUUGAGGCUCGAAAGCGUGGGGAGCAAACAGGAUUAGAUACCCCUGUAGUC
rnacentral:rRNA from 1 species